rnacentral:rRNA from 1 species
GACGAACGCUGGCGGCGUGCCUAAUACAUGCAAGUAGAACGCUGAAGCUUGGUGCUUGCACCGAGCGGAUGAGUUGCGAACGGGUGAGUAACGCGUAGGUAACCUGCCUGGUAGCGGGGGAUAACUAUUGGAAACGAUAGCUAAUACCGCAUAAGAGUAGCUGUUGCAUGACAUUUGCUUAAAAGGUGCAAUUGCAUCACUACCAGAUGGACCUGCGUUGUAUUAGCUAGUUGGUGAGGUAACGGCUCACCAAGGCAACGAUACAUAGCCGACCUGAGAGGGUGAUCGGCCACACUGGGACUGAGACACGGCCCAGACUCCUACGGGAGGCAGCAGUAGGGAAUCUUCGGCAAUGGACGGAAGUCUGACCGAGCAACGCCGCGUGAGUGAAGAAGGUUUUCGGAUCGUAAAGCUCGGUUGUAAGAGAAGAACGAGUGUGAGAGUGGAAAGUUCACACUGUGACGGUAGCUUACCAGAAAGGGACGGCUAACUACGUG